UAGGGAAUCUUCCGCAAUGGGCGAAAGCCUGACGGAGCAACGCCGCGUGAGUGAUGAAGGUCUUCGGAUCGUAAAACUCUGUUAUUAGGGCAGAACAAAUGUGUACGUAACUAUGCACGUCUUGACGGUACCUAAUCAGAAAGCCACGGCUAACUACGUGCCAGCAGCCGCUGUAAUACGUAGGUGGCAAGCGUUAUCCGGAAUUAUUGGGCGUAAAGCGCGCGGAGGCGGUUUUUUAAGUCUGAUGUGAAAGCCCACGGCUCAACCGUGGAGGGUAAUUGGAAACUGGAAAACUUGAGUGCAGAAGAGGAAAGUGGAAUUCGAUGGGUAGCGGUGAAAGGCGCAGAGAUAUGGAGGAACACCAGUGGCGAAGGCGACUUUCUGGUCUGUAAAGGACGCUGAUGUGCAAAAGCGUGGGGAUCAAACAGG
rnacentral:rRNA from 1 species